GUGAGGGCGCUUAGGAGAGAGAUGGUGAGGCCGGUAGCACCAGAAGCUGCCGCUUCGUCCAUCAAGCUGCCUCUGAGGACAAUGGAGGAGUUUCAAUUAGCAGAGGCUGUUAUGAGAGAAACCCCCUGCGAAAAACAAAAGAUGAUCUUAACAUUCAGUCUAAUUGGAGGGCACACUGCAGAAGAGGCCGUAAGAAGGAUGUUGCAGAGUGGCCUAACAAAUAACCUGGCGUGUCGCUUCAACUGGGCAGGGAAAGGCUUCAAGGAAGCCUUUAAAAGCACUGUCCUUAGUGAUGUACUGUUCGCUGCACUCCAAAAACAGCUGCCAGGGACCACCCAUAUUGUUUUUUCAGGGACACUUAAGAAGUGGCUUAAAUAUGCACCAGAGAGAGAGGGAGGUGGAGGGAGGCGAACAAAUGAACGCGAUCAGGCGCCGCAGGAUCCUCGACCAUGAAUGAAUGUGUGUGUGUAAAUAAUAAUUAUAUUCGUUAGAAUAAUAGGGUUAAUUGGGUUUGGGUUGUUCGUGUUCGGUUAUCACGUUGUGUUGUUCAUUAUUGUCGCCACCGUUGUUGUGUCAUGUUUGUUUGUUGGGUGCUCUAUGUGAGAGGAUUUUAAUGAAAGUAGUCUGCGUCGAGGGGUGUACGGGGCGCAGAACUACAGUUAAAUAAAGCCUGACUGUGCGUUUCUUGGCCGCCGCUACAAUAUGUUUGACAACAAUAGCCUAUGUUCUGUGUAUUCAUAUAUUCAUUAGAGCCUUGAAGGAGAUUCAGUAGCCUUAAAAUCCUAAUUUAAUUGUAGAGUCAUAUCAUGAUGUCCUUUAAAUAAAUCAGUGAGUGAAGAACCAACAUCGACCACAAUUCGACCAUAAUCACUAGU